rfam:Ruminiclostridium sp. KB18, complete genome.
ACUUCUGUCCAGCCACAGACAUCGCAAUGGGGGCAGCCGGGCGAGAACCGCGCGGGGUUGAAAUACCAUGA